UACGUAGGGCGCAAGCGUUGUCCGGAAUUAUUGGGCGUAAAGAGCUCGUAGGCGGUCCGUCACGUCUGCCGUGAAAACCCGAGGCUUAACCUCGGGCCUGCGGUGGAUACGGGCGAACUAGAGGUAGGUAGGGGAGAAUGGAAUUCCCGGUGUAGCGGUGAAAUGCGCAGAUAUCGGGAGGAACACCGGUGGCGAAGGCGGUUCUCUGGGCCUUACCUGACGCUGAGGAGCGAAAGCGUGGGGAGCGAACAGG
rnacentral:rRNA from 1 species